GUCCCCAUCGUCUAGCCCGGUCCAGGACACCAGAUUUUCAUUCUGGGUACAGGGGUUCAAAUCCCCUUGGGGACG
rfam:Desulfoplanes formicivorans DNA, contig: NODE_4, strain: Pf12B.